rnacentral:rRNA from 1 species
CCUACGGGAGGCAGCAGUGAGGAAUAUUGGUCAAUGGACGAGAGUCUGAACCAGCCAAGUAGCGUGAAGGAUGACUGCCCUAUGGGUUGUAAACUUCUUUUAUAUGGGAAUAAAAUGUUCCACGUGUGGGAUUUUGUAUGUACCAUAUGAAUAAGGAUCGGCUAACUCCGUGCCAGCAGCCGCGGUAAUACGGUGGAUCCGAGCGUUAUCCGGAUUUAUUGGGUUUAACGGGAGCGUAAGUGGAUUGUUAAGUCAGUUGUGAAAGUUUGCGGCUCAACCGUAAAAUUGCAUUUGAAACUGGCAGUCUUGAGUACAGUAGAGGUGGGCGGAAUUCGUGGUGUAGCGGUGAAAUGCUUAGAUAUCACGAAGAACUCCGAUUGCGAAGGCAGUUCACUGGACUGCAACUGACACUGAGGCUCGAAAGUGUGGGUAUCAAACAGGAUUAGAUACCCGAGUAGUC